GGAGGAGUGGCAGAGUGGUUGAAUGCGGCGGUCUCGAAAACCGUUUCCCGAUGACCUCGGGACGGGGGUUCGCCCCCGACCUUUA
rnacentral:tRNA from 1 species